GCCCUGGGUGCCAUGGGAACACUGAAGAGAGACUGACAUGGAUGCUGCCGCCCUCGGGUACCUCCCAGGCUGCUGGAGGAGACAAGCCACGGACACAGCCACUAGCACCACCUACAAAGUAAGGAGUGCCUGCGGACUAGAUCGUGACACUACACCCUGCCACCAGCAGCCUGGCAGCCUCUUCCAGUGACAUCUCGGACCGUAAGUGGAUCAAGACGCAGCCUUGUCAGCCCCCACAUCUCAGGAUGCUCCAGGAAGUUGCUGUGUUUAACGUGGCGGCCUACAGAGGAGGAGGCUGUACCUCAUGGUCCAGGGAGAUGGUGCUCUCAAAAGUUCCAGAAAAGGGAUGGAACAAAUUUGGAGCACCUACUUUGGGCCAGGACUCAUUUAAGCUUCAAGAAACCUAGGAAAGAGGCAACUUCCCGCCAUCUUAUAGGUGGAGGGACUGAGGGUGAAUAUUGAAUUGAUUCACUUUUGCCACAUAACAAAGCACUCCCAGAGUGUCCUAAGAUCUCCAUUUCUUUCGCUCCCAAUGCUAUAGGUAAGCAAUUUGGGCUGGACGCAGGUGGACGCCCUUCUGAUGAUCUCAGCGAGACAAUGCCCACUCAUGGUCAGCUAGGAAUCAAGUGGAGGCUGACUGGUCUCACCCACCUGUCUGGUAGUUGAUGGCUAUGGGCAACACGAAUGGCUGAGCCAUGUGCUCUCAUGAACCCAGCUUCCCAGGGCAGCAAGAGAGCCAGCCCCAAUGUGUGAACACUUUUUAAAGCCUUUGGUGGCUUGUUUGCUAAUGUCCCAGGAGCCACGUAAGACAUAAGGCCAGUGCAGAGCCAGUGUGGGAGGGGACUAUCCAAGGGGCAGAUAGAGGAAGUUAAACAAAUUAUGGCCGUUUUUGUAAUCUGCGACAAGAACUCCGUUCAAGGAACACACUAAAUGCAUGGCAGAGCUUCCUCUUUGAUCUUCUGAGCUGACAGGCAUGUGGUGAGCACAGCCUCAUGUGUCCCUAAUGUGUUCCAGACACACUUAGCACUUCCCACACAGCCAUGUAAACUGCCCGGUCCUCACUGAACUUUCUACUCCGACUGAUCUUGAGAGGCACAUGUCUCAGGAUUUAAAUAAAAAUGAAC
rnacentral:lncRNA from 1 species